CAGGAUCUGCCCAAUGGCUCACUAACAUGGAAUGUGCACAUUGAUUGAAUUCUUUGGUUGCCCAGCACCAUUUGAACAUCCUUCCAACAUCCGGGGAUGUCCCACCUCCCCACGCAGAAGCCAGAAACGCCCUCUUCCAGCUGGGAUGAGGCAUGUGAGGAAGAACUGACAACGUACACACUGACAAGAGCCGUUGGCACGACUGAGAGAAUGUGAGCUGGCCUUAGUGACUCACGGCUAACAAACAGACGGAAGUGAUGCCGUGUGGCUUCCAGCUUCCCCUUGGCUCUUUGUGUGUUGGGAUGCCUCCCUGGGAACCCAGCCACCGGGUUGUGAGGAAUCCCAGGCCACGUGGAGAGCCCCACACGAGGGGAAAGCAGGCUUCCUGGCAACAGCUGGCACCAACUGCCAGCCCAGGUUUCGAGUCUUCAAACCGAGGCCCAAACAUCAAGAGCAGACAGGCCAUUUCCACUGGAUCCUGUCCCUGUGCCCACCCCUCAGAACCUCUGAGCAAAAUAAAUAGUUUUGUGCCACGAA